ensembl:lncRNA novel transcript
UGCCCUAGAGGGCCCAGUAGCCCCACUGAAGCUGGCCCAGCACAAGGAGAUCUACAUCUUCCAGGGAGAGGCAGCUGAGAUCAGAAGGGACCAGCUGGAGAGCCCAGACCAGGACCAGGAGGGUCUGUCAAGGGCUUCUGCUCACCCAGGAACCCCACAGAGCAGCCACGGGCCUUCCAGAGAUCUGACAUGCCCUGUGACCUCAGGCCAGUCCUUGCCCGCUCUCAGCCUUACUCUUCCACACUGCUUAUUUCGGAGACCCUUCUGGUCUGCAUCUGGAGCUUGGGGCCCAUGGUAGCCCAGGAGGCAGUGCCGCCAGCAGACAUCGUUUUCUCAGUGAAGAGCCCACCGAGUGCCGGCUACCUGGUGAUGGUGCUGCGUGGCAUCUUGGCAGAUGAGCCACCCAGCCUGGACCCCGUGCAGAGCUUCUCCCAAGAGGCAGUGGACACAGGCAGGAUCCUCUACCUGCACUCCCGCCCUGAGGCAUGCCUUCUCGCUGGAUGUGGCCUCGGCCUGGGUGCUCCCCUUGAGGACGUCACGUGGAGCUGGAGGUGCUGCCUGCUGUCAUCCCCACUGGGGGCACAAAACUUCAGCAGUAGAGGGGGCACAGUCGCAGCUGCACCCUGGCCCCUCCACUGCUCCGCGUUGCCAGGUCCUGCUUCCCCACUCUCCCGGGCCUUGGCCUGCAGGUGCUGGAGCCACCCCGGCAUGGGGCCCUGCAGAAGGAGGAUGGGCCUCAAGCCAGGACCCUCAGCACCUUCUGCUGGAGAGAGGUGGAAGAGCAUCUGAUCCAGUACCUGCACGAUGGGAGCAAGACACUGACGGUUUUGUCCUGAUGGCUAAUGCCUCUGAGAUGGACCGCCAGAGCCAUCCUGUGGCCUUCACUGUCACCAUCCUGCCUGUCAAUGGCCAACCCCCGACCUCAUACAAACUCAGGCCUGCAGGGGCCCUGGACGGAGGCAUCCACUUUGGCCUCUCUGACGGUGAACAUACUUCCUCCAGACACUUAGCUUCUGAGUGACGGCCCAGAAGCAAGUGCUUCACUCGCUGGAGGGCAGCCGGACACUGACUGCCCAGAGUCCGUCCAGCCACUCAGCAGCCAGAGCCUCAGAGCCAGCAGGCACCGACCCCCAGCUCCUGCUCUACCAUGUGGUGCGGGGCCUCCAGCUAGGCCGGCUCUUCCACGCCCAGCAUGACAGCACAGGGGAGGACCUGGUGAACUUCACUCAGGCAGAGACCCCGGAGUUCAUCAUCUCGGAGCCGCUGGCCAAUAUGUACUCAUGUGGGAACCAGAACACACUGAUGGAGGAGUUGGCAGAGCAGGCACAGCAGCAUGACGAGAUGCUGCACAUGCACCACGCGCUGAAGGAGGCGCUCAGCAUCAUCGGUGACAUCAACAGGACCACUGUCACCAUGCCCAUGCCCCCGCCCGUGGACGACACCUGGUUGUCAGAGCAUCCCUGACGAACACAGCCCAGUCCCGGGGGCGCCUACUUCAGGUCUGAGAGUCUGAACUCCGAGAUGCUCUGGGUGUGUGGAUUUCCUUCAGCUACCCUGAUGUCCCCACUUCCAAGUCCUGACUCCUUUGAGCCAUCCCAGGGGGUGUCCGGCCACUGGACCACAGGAGCAGAGGCGAGUCUGUGACUGUGUGACCAGCAAGGAUGGCUGUGGGGAUCAAGGGAGACAGUGGCCAUAGGGAUGCUAUGUUAACCGCAGAUGCGGCUGUAGGAGCACUUUGCUAACUGCCAACGAUGGGUGGUCCUCUGAGCACGCCAGGCACGAGUGUGCAGGGAGCUGGUGCAAAUGCCUCUGUGUGCGGAAUCACUAUCAGUGGCCCCUGAGGAGCAUCAGCCAUGGUACCAUCACAGCUGCUAGCAUGUGACUGAAGGCUGGGUCCCUGGCCAGCACUACUGAAGCACUACUGCCAGCCAGCAGGCUCACGGACCUUGGCCUGUUGCUCCUAGGGGUCACCUGUGCUAUUCAGCCAAGGAGACCACAGUGCUUGCUGGCCCAGCUGAGCUCCGCCUAGCGAGCCCACCUGCCUUUCCUGCCGCGGAGUCUCCCUCUUCUGCUUUUCCCAGCAGGAAGGGCCCAGCCUCACCUAUGCAACCUGCAGCCCCCCGCCAACCAGUUGAGGUUCCCCUCUUAGACUUAUAAGUCUAUGGGCAGUGGCAUCUAGCUACCUGCCCUCCCUGCCUUCCCCAGGGUCCCUUCAGUGGACCCUGGGCUUUCUGACUGCCCAGAGAGGGGCCUCUGGCGCUCACUCCAGCCAGCCAUCCCUUACAGCUUCACCAUUUUGGUUCAAGCAGUGUUCCUUCUGUCAGGCUUGGUGGCUGUUGGGUGGGGCUCCCCAAGCAAGAGGUGGCCCUGGGCCAGUGGGUUGGAAGAUGGGGUGACCACAGAAGAGGGAAGCCGGGGGAGUUGAGCAUUGGUCUGAACUGUGGGUGGACUGCCUGGGUGCCAUGAGAGAGGCCAGUGUGUGUGGGGUGGGGAGGACCGCCACAGCCCCCAGGCACUACCUAUGAAGCUCUAGCUUCUCCCUCCAUCUUCCUCCCCUUUCCCUUCCAGCCCCUCUUUUCCAGGAACCUUGCCACGCCCACACCUACGCCUUCCCCUUCCCGGCUCUCAGAUGAUGGUGGUGUUUAUCUCCCUGUUCUUGGGAGCCCAAAAAGAAUGGCAUGCAGGGGUUGCUGCCCAUGCCUGGGUGCUCCUGGGGAGUCCUGCAUUACAGGAAGCAGCUGCUGGAUCUGCUGUGCAGUGGGGUUGUCGUGGGGAGAACCCUCCCUGUCCUCUCCUGGUGCAGCCUCCACGCUAUCAGUGAGGCUCACCUCACAAAGAUCUUCAGAGAGAGGGAGGGGGGGUGGGAAUCUGAGCACAGUGUGAGCCUCCCCUGCUCCUGCCUGCCCACCCCGCCUGAGGGCUCUACUCACCACCCUGCUCGUCAGCACACCCAAGCUCCUGGGCUAUUGGGGCUCCUAGAGUGGGCUCAUCAGCAGGGUUCUGGGCAAUGGUCAGAAUUUGCCAUGCCCCUCCUUGUGGUCUCCCACAAGCUGCAACACCUGCCCCGCAGCUCCUGCAGGUUCACCUGGAGGAAGGGGUGUUAGCUGCCAUGCCGGUGCCAGCACGCACGUUCACACCCACCCCCACCCUCCCCCACCGAGAUGUUGCACACCCUACCUUCAUCUCCUCCUGGUCCUGGGCCAGCCUGACGAUGUCCUCCUCUCCCAGUGCUGCGUCUCUGACACUGCCCCCUGGCUGAUGUACUUUCCUGCAGGAGGACAUGGCUCAGAUGCUGGGGCCCCUCAGACGGCCUGGCAGCUCCCCCCAGCGGUGCCCUAGCCUCUCACUCCCUAUGGUGUCUGUCUGUCCUGAGAGGUGGAUGAAUUGAAGCUCUAGUUUCUCU